rnacentral:lncRNA from 1 species
AGCCCGGCUGUGACGGCUGAGGCCGGGCUCCUGGAGGCAAAGCCACCUCAGGCCUCCAGGGCUGGAGCCGCAGGGAGCUGCUGGGUUUCCACAGGGCCACGGGGGCUGCAGCCACACGGAGCGGGAGCACAGGUGGGGACACUGAGGCUGAGCUCACAGCCAGGACGGGGACAGCAGAGUGACGGCCGAGACCAUCUGCCCCGCGAGGGAAGCAGCGCCCACCUUCCUUGGUGGUCCGGGAAGGCCGGACUGGCCCCUUGGGUCCCCACCAGCCACAGCCACUGUGGGCUCGUCCAGCUUCAGCUGCCAGGAGAGGCCAGGCCAAGGUCAGGAGGCUCAGCAGCGGGUUCCGUGACUUCCUCUUUGCUGAGGAGGUCAGGACAGAAGCUUCUAGAUGACAGGCCGCUCAACUUGGUAUAAAACAGCAAAUUUCUGUGCCUGUGCUGUCGGGCUGUGAAUGACUUCCCGUCUGUUUCAUGAGAUGCAGCUUCAGCCCAGGGAGGCAUCAGAUGCAGCCGGGCCAGACGCGGAGCCAAGAGCUGUCCUCGCCC